UACGAAGGGGGCUAGCGUUGCUCGGAAUUACUGGGCGUAAAGGGCGCGUAGGCGGACAGUUUAGUCAGAGGUGAAAGCCCCAGGGCUCAACCUUGGAAUUGCCUUUGAUACUGACUGUCUUGAGUACGGGAGAGGUGAGUGGAACUCCGAGUGUAGAGGUGAAAUUCGUAGAUAUUCGGAAGAACACCAGUGGCGAAGGCGACUCACUGGCCCGUUACUGACGCUGAGGCGCGAAAGCGUGGGGAGCAAACAGG
rnacentral:rRNA from 1 species